GAUGAACGCUAGCGGGAGGCCUAAUACAUGCAAGUCGAACGGUAAGGUCCCUUCGGGGAUACACGAGUGGCGGACGGGUGCGUAACGCGUACGAAACAUACCUUCAACAGGGAGAUACCUCCGGGAAACUGGAAAUAAUACCCCAUAGUAUUGAGAUAUCGCAUGAUAUUUCAAUUAAAGCUUUGGCGGUUGAAGAUUGUCGUGCGUCUGAUUAGCUAGUUGGUGAGGUAACGGCUCACCAAGGCGACGAUCAGUAGCUGGUCUGAGAGGAUGAUCAGCCACACUGGAACUGAGACACGGUCCAGACUCCUACGGGAGGCAGCAGUAGGGAAUAUUGGACAAUGGGCGGAAGCCUAGACU
rnacentral:rRNA from 1 species